rnacentral:misc_RNA from 1 species
AAAAACCCUACAUUUGAUGAAAAGAUAGUAGUUGUUCUGAGCCACCGCUGACGAGCCUGGUUUUCUUCCCAGUUUUUUGAACUAAGCUCAGUGCGAAAGAAAAGAUAUCUCUUUCCAAUUCAUUUUGCCCCUCAAGGGUUAACAAUGAAGGCGUUUGAAGUUGGUGGAACCACCCUUUGUCUUGCCCUUUUCAGCGAUGUUACUAAUUCUAAAGAACUAUUGGACUUAAUGCAGUCUGCAACACUGGAGCCAGAAGUAGCAUUUCUGAAUGCAUCACUUAUCCCGGAUGUAUUUCCUGUUUUAGCAGCUGCACACAAGACACUUGUAGCUAAAUCACGGGAUUCACUGACUACACGGACCCCCCAUUCUGAGCUUGUUUACAACUUCUCAGGAUCUAAGCAUAUUUCAGAGUCUUUGAAAAGAUGUGGUAUCGCAGACAACACAAGCUACAUCCUGGCAGCACGCUUUGGUGCUUCAGCUGAUGAGAUGGUGGCCAUAGAAAAACUCAUAAAGGGCAAUGAGAUUGACCUGAAGGAAUUAGAACAAAGAAUAAACCAGGCUCAGAUUCAAAAGCAUUACAAGAUAUCUAAUCUGGAGCUGGAGAUAUCGUCACUUGCAGAUGCUAUAACCUGCAGAAUUGCUGCCAGAGACGCUUUAUAAGCAUUGCACGCCUAUUGCACUAUUCAUUUCAUCUUUUUAUGUGUAAACUAUUAUGUCAGGAUCUCGACAAUAACUUUCCCAACCUUGUGUGAGAUACCAUUCCAUAGAUUUAGAAACCUCCCUUCAUGCUGUUGUGAUUGUUUUUACCUUGGCUUGCUUGUUUUUUACGUCUUGAUAAAUUUUGCAAAAACUAAUCAU